rnacentral:rRNA from 1 species
GUGCCAGCCGCCGCGGUAAUACCGGCAGCCCAAGUGAUGGCCGCUGUUAUUGGGCCUAAAGCGUCCGUAGCUGGCCGCACAAGUCCGUCGGGAAAUCCGCCCGCUCAACGGGCGGCCGUCCGGCGGAACCUGUGUGGCUUGGGACCGGGAGGCCUGAGGGGUACGAUUGGGGUAGGAGUGAAAUCCUGUAAUCCCGCUCGGACCACCGUUGGGGAAACCACUUCAGGAGAACGGAUCCGACAGUGAGGGACGAAAGUCAGGGUCUCGAACCGGAUUAGAAACCCGGGUAGUCC